UGCAAAGUGUGCAGAGUGCUGAUUUGAAAUUUUAUUUUCGAUCUUUAAUUGUACUUCCUUUUUACACAGGAAGUAGAAAGUCAUUUGGUGGAUGGCGUUUGGACUGCAUCGUGAGUUCUCUCUCUUUAUCAGUGCUCUAUUGGAAUGAGAUCUAGGGACUGUGAAGGCAAAAGAAGUGGCACCUUCUGCUGCUGUCGCCCAUCCGCUUCAAGAAAUACCUCAUAGGAUGGAAAACGUCAUGAUCAGAGUGUCACAGGCACCAGACUUUCCUGUUGCACCUCCGUAUGAUGAAGGUCCUCUUCUGUACUCGAUGGUCCAACCUCGAGGUCAAGACAGUGCAAACGGGUCAGCGCCAGUUUUUGUUUUCAAAACCACAUGCUGCCCUAAAAAGUGGACCCAAAGUAACUGUCUGGCCUUGGCAUUUAUCUUUGUCUGUCUCUUACUCCUGGUGUUGUUCGGGUUUGUUCUUUACUCAGCUUACGUUAAGAGGUAAUUUUGUUCAAAAUGAAAACUGUUAAAAAAGAUCACCAUAUCAUGGUGCAAAAAAGCCUGACA